UUGGUAUUGUACUUAAUCUCAUUCGCUGUUGCUUUCUAUUGGCCGUUGAUAUAUUUUGUCAGAGUUUUACAGAUGGCUAUCUUUGUUUCUCAUCGUUUUCUCCUUUGAAUGGUUGAUUCUUAUUGAAUUCUGACUAUUGCUUGAAAGUUUACGAUGGACUUGUUGUUGUAACAAAAUUAUCUUGCUGUAAACUCUUGGUUUUGACAUUUUAACAGCUAAACUGAUAAAUUGUUAAUUCUUGUAUUUUUAAAAAGCCUGAAAUGAUUCUUUGUUGAAAGUCCAUCUUUAAUGAGUUGCGUAUGAUGGAACUACUCACGACAAAAAGAAAACAUGGUUGGUCAAACUGAUAAAUGGUUCUUUCUUGUGUUUAUGGAAAACCUCAAAUGAUUCUUUGUUAAAGGUCCAUCUUAACUGUGUUUCGUUUGGUCCAAAUAUGUGCGGUGGAAAGAAAACAUGGAUGGUUAAACUGAUAAAUGGUCGUUCUUGUGUUUAUAGAAUACCUCAAAUGAUUCUUCGUUAAAGGUCCAUCUUAAUUGUGUUGCGUUUGCUCCAAAUAUGUGCGGUGGAAAGAAAACAUGGCUGAUUAAACUGAUAAAUGGUCUCUCUUGUGUUUAUAGAAUACCUCAAAUGAUUCUUCGUUAAAGGUCCAUCUUUACUGUAAUGCUGUAAACUAAACUUUUUCUGGUGAUCUUUUGUGCGGCUUCCUCGUGAGGAAUAUAAACAGCUUGUUUACCAAUCUAAGAUAUUCUUGGCUAUCUAGACAAGACUCUAAUCGUAUAUGACUAUGUUAAAGAGCAUCAAGAGCUGUUUUAAUCUAUGUUGUGCUAGAGAGGGCUUAUCUUGGUAUUGUACUUAAUCUCAUUCGCUGUUGCUUUCUAUUGGCCGUUGAUAUAUUUUGUCAGAGUUUUACAGAUGGCUAUCUUUGUUUCUCAUCGUUUUCUCCUUUGAAUGGUUGAUUCUUAUUGAAUUCUGACUAUUGCUUGAAAGUUUACGAUGGACUUGUUGUUGUAACAAAAUUAUCUUGCUGUAAACUCUUGGUUUUGACAUUUUAACAGCUAAACUGAUAAAUUGUUAAUUCUUGUAUUUUUAAAAAGCCUGAAAUGAUUCUUUGUUGAAAGUCCAUCUUUAAUGAGUUGCGUAUGAUGGAACUACUCACGACAAAAAGAAAACAUGGUUGGUCAAACUGAUAAAUGGUUCUUUCUUGUGUUUACGGAAAACCUCAAAUGAUUCUUUGUUAAAGGUCCAUCUUAACUGUGUUUCGUUUGGUCCAAAUAUGUGCGGUGGAAAGAAAACAUGGAUGGUUAAACUGAUAAAUGGUCUUUCUUGUGUUUAUAGAAUACCCUAAAUGAUUCUUUGUUAAAGGUCCAUCUUAACUGUGUUUCGUUUGGUCCAAAUAUGUGCGGUGGCAAGAAAACAUGGAUGGUUAAACUGAUAAAUGGUCUUUCUUGUGUUUAUAGAAUACCUCAAAUGAUUCUUUGUUAAAGGUCCAUCUUAACUGUGUUUCGUUUGGUCCAAAUAUGUGCGGUGGAAAGAAAACAUGGAUGGUUAAACUGAUAAAUGUUCUUUCUUGUGUUUAUAGAAUACCUCAAAUGAUUCUAUGUUAAAGGUCCAUCUUUAAUGAAUCUUUGUUGUCGCACGACUUACGGCAAAAAGACGACAUGGUCGGUUAAAUUGAUAAAUGUUCCUUGCUUGUGCUCAAAGAAAAACAUUCAAUAAUUCUUCGGUAAAGUUCCAUCUUGAACGAAUUGUGUUUGGUCAAUCUACUGACAGUGAAAAGAGUUGCGUUUGGUCGAACCAUGUGUGGUGAAAAGAAAAUAUGGCUGUUGAAACUGACUAAUGGUCCUGGCUUCUCUUUAUUAAAAGUCAUAAAUAUCUCUUGGUUCAAGGUCCAUCUUAAAGGUGCUUUUUUUUGUCAAAAUUCGCUAAUUGAAUACAACACCGGGGUUUUAAAACUGUUGAAUGCUCUAUCCCUGUAGUGAAAAAGGUGAGUUUAUACUUUGUUCUUGGUUAAAGAGCCAUGUUUGGUCAACAUUUGUUUGAUGGUGGGAAAAAAGGACUAUUUCAUUUAACUUUUUUUUAUUUAAAAAUUUGCAUAAAUUCUUGAAAUGUUGAUUGGUGAAAAGUUCUUGAUAAAGAGGCAUUGAAUGCUGAUAAUAGUCAAAUUAUAUAUCUGACUAUAUAUCUGAAAACUAUAAAUUAUUUUUCGAUUCAAAGCAGCAGCAAUUUUGAAGUUAACUUGAUAAAGUAAAAAAUUGAAGAAAAUAUUAGUCUAGCUAUAAAUUUCUGCCUAAGUACCCAUUGACAACAGUUUUCAAAGAACAAUAAAUCUAACUUUUUUUAAGAGUUCUUUUUAAGCAUUGGCUGCCAAGAGCCUUCAACUCAAGAUGUGGUAAUGUAACCAACUCAAGUGGUAAUCUUUAUGGGUAUUUUUUUAUAUAUAUUAUAAUACAUCAGAUUAUGAUCAUUUAUGGUUGAAAUUCAAACAGAGAUCUUUAAAUUGCAGAAUUCUAACGGAAAGUAAACGCUUUUGCAUAGUACUUGAUAGAAUAUUUUCCAAUGAAACCUGGACAGAUAUAUUAUUAAAAGUGAUAUUUAUUCGUGAUCUUAAUGUUGCUGUGAAAGUAGAAAUAUUUCUGUUUAAUAAAAUUAGAGCUAGGAGAAAAAAUUCAACUUGUUAAUCUCCAGAUCUAGAACAACUUUAAUUGCAAUAUUUUUCCACCAUGUAAAGCAGAUUUGCUAACAGAUUUAAUUGCUUGAAAUAACUUCUUAUUCAUGCAUACCAUAGAGCUGGACACCGUGGCGAGUUGACUGGAGACUGCUGCAAAAAGGCGAAAUGGCAAUUCCUGUUGCCAACGAAGCUAAAGAGCCAACAGACGAUAAUUAAAUGGAGAUAAAUGCUGUUUAGCUGAAGAGUCGAAAAAGAUCGAUAUGAAAAAUAUGAUUCUUUGGAACUCAGAGACAUGACAUUCCAAUGCCGAAAAAGCUAUUGAGCAGAAUACAUUCAUUGCAGCAUUCCAGGAGAAAACUGCUAAAGGCACAAGGAGUAGGUGAGUUUGUUUCAAUCGCACUUUCUAAACAGUUGUUUGAAUAUAUUCAUAUCGUGUUUAUUAUGCUCAAUAUUCCACCCGAGGCCGACGUGUGAAAAAGGCAAUAAUUCAAAGAUUUCAGGUUACAAAAAAGCAGUCUAAAAUUAUCUGAUGGUGAACAGUUGUUCAGGUGUACUACAUAUAUUCUUGCAACAGAAAAUUGUAAAAUAAAGAAAGAUAGCAAUACAAUUUACAAAGAAGAAUGGAACUGAACAUAUUUACAUCAAUUUUCUACAUUUGAUGUUGGGUAUUUAAGUGACUCGCUGUCUACUUAAAUCGGAUAAGAAAUAGGCUUUUCUUUAAAAAGAUCUACAUUCAAUGAUAAGAAAAUAUGCGAAUGAAUUCAAAACGCUGGUGCUUCGAGGAGUCUCAUUUUAUUGGCUAUUUAACAGCGCGCUUGAAUUUUAACUCGUUUCCAUUCUACGAAAGCAGAGGAGAGGGUGUAUCAAAAAAUCAUUGUCGUCAUUGUCGUUUUGAGUUCCAGUUGGUCGUUUUCAUCGUAUUUAUCGACGUCGUUUUGGCCAGCAUGUUUGUCACAUUGAAGAGUUUUGAACUUUUGCACGUACAAUUAAUGCUGUCAACUAAGCUUGUUCUGGGGAUCUUUUGUGCGGCUUCCUCAUGAGGAAGAUAAACAGCUUGUUUACCAAUCUAAGAUAUUCCUGGCUAUCUAGACAAUGCUAUGAUCGUAUAUGAUCAUGUUAAAGAGCAGCAAGAGCUGUUUGAAUCUAUGUUGUGUUAGAGAGGGCUUCUCUUGGUAUUGUUCUUAAUCUCAUUCGCUGUUGCUUUCUAUUGGCCGUUGAUUUAUUUUGUCAGUGUUACAGAUGGCUAUCUUUCUUUCUCAUCUUUUUCUCCUUUGAAAGGCUGAUUCUUAUUGAAUUCUGACUAUUGCUUGGAAGUUUACGAUGGACUUGUUGUUGUAACAAAUUUAUCUUGCUGUAAACUCUUGGUUUUGACAUUUUAACAACUAAACAGAUAAAUGGUCAUUUCUUGUAUUUUUAAAAAGCCUGAAAUGAUUCUUUGUUGAAGAUCCAUCUUUAAUGAGUUUCGUAUGGUCGAAUUACUCACGGCAAAAAGAAAACAUGGUUGGUCAAACUGAUAAAUGGUUCGUUCUUGUGUUUAUGGAAAACCUAAAAUGAUUCUUCGUUGAAGGUCCAUCUUAGUUGAAUAGUAUUUAAUCGAACUACAGUAGAAACCCGCAUAAAAUAACCUGUUUUUAUAAAGAACAUUGAGGCUGCAAUUUAACCUUCAAAUCCCCAUAAUUAAGAAACUCCAAGAGGCUGAAGAUUGGGAGGGUUCUUAAAUAUAUAAAAGAUGAAAUGGUUUUUAGAGUAAACCAGGUUAUGGUAUGUUGUAUGCUACUUGGACAGUCUCACAGGACAAAUUCAUUAGAUUGGUUGAAAUUUAACAUAAAAAAGCUGGUUCAAGUGUGUCCAUUAGAAUUUUUGCGGUGGAAAACAUUGUUAAUGUAUGCAAGUCCUGUACGUAUAAGAGACUUGUUAAGAAACUUUUAGACUGAAAUUUAGAAUAGCAGCCUGUUAAUUAGGAACCUAUUCAGGCUGCCUGAUAAAAACUUAGGUUCUUUUAUGCGCGUUUGUACUGUACUUACGAAGAAAAGAAAAAAAUAGCUGCUUAAACUGAUAAAUGGUUCAUUCAUAAAUUUCUUAAAAGACUGAAAUGGUUCUUUGUUUAAUGUCCACCUUUAAUGUGUUGCUUAUAGUCCAAAUACGUGCGGUGGAAGGAAAAAAAGGCUGGUAAAACUAAUGAAUGGUCCUUCAUUGUCCUUAAAGAAAACCUUGAAUGAUUCUUCGUCAAAGAUCGAUCUUAACAGUGUUGCGUUUGGUCCAAAUAUGUGCGGUGGAAAGAAAACAUGGCUCGUUAAACUGAUAAAUGGUCUUUCUUGUGUUUAUAGAAUACCUCAAAUGAUUCUUCGUUAAAGGUCCAUCUUAAAUGAAUCUUUGUUUUCGAACGACUUACGGCAAAAAGAAAACAUGGAUGGUUAGACUGAUAAAUGGUCUUUCUUGUGUUUAAAGAAUACCUCGAAUGAUUCUUCGUUAAAGGUCCAUCUUAAAUGAAUCUUUGUUUUCGAACGACUUACAGCAAAAAGAAAACAUGGUCGGCUGAACUGAUAAAUGGUCCUUUCUCGUGUUUAUGGAAAACCUUAAAUUAUUCUUCAUUAAAGGUCCAUCUUAACUGUGUUUCGUUUGGUCCAAAUAUGUGCGGUGGAAAGAAAACAUGGCUCGUUUAACUGAUAAAUGGUCUUUCCUGUGUUUAUAGAAUACCUCAAAUGAUUCUUCAUUAAAGGUCCAUCUUAACUGUGUUGCGUUUGGUCGAAAUAUGUGCGGUGGAAAGAAAACAUGGCUGAUUAAACUGAUAAAUGGUCUUUCUUGUGUUUAUAGAAUACCUAAAAUGAUUCUUCGUUAAAGGUCCAUCUUAAAUGAAUCUAUGUUUUCGAACGACUUAGGGCAAAAGGACGACAUGGUUGGUUAAAUUGAUAAAAGAUCCUUUCUUCUGUUUAUGGAAAACCUUAAACGAUUCUUCGUUAUAGGUCCAUCUUAACUGUGUUGUGUUUGGUCGAAAUAUGUGCUGUGGAAAGAAAACAUGGUCGGCUAAACUGAUAAAUGGUCGUUUCUUGUGUUUAUAGAAUACCUCAAAUGAUUCUUCAUUAAAGGUCCAACUUAGCUGUGUUGCCUUUGGUCGAAAUAUGUGCGGUGGAAAGAAAACAUGGAUGGUUAGACUGAUAAAUGGUCUUUCUUGUGUUUAUAGAAUAACUCAAAUGAUUCUCCGUUAAAGGUCCAUCUUAGCUGUCUUGCGUUUGGUCGAAAUAUGUGCGGUGGAUAGAAAACAUGGCUGAUUAAACUGAUAAAUGGUCUUUCUCGUUUUUAUAGAAUACCUUAAAUGAUUCUUCGUUAAAGGUCCAUCUUAACUGUGUUGCGUUUGGUCUAAAUAUGUGCGGUGGAAAGAAAACAUGGCUGGUUAAACUGAUAAAUGGUCUUUCUUGUGUUUAUAGAAUACCUAAAAUGAUUCUUCGUUAAAGGUCCAUCUUAAAGGAAUCUUUGUUGUCGAACGACUAACGGCAAAAAGAAAACACGGCUGGUUAAACUGAUAAAUGGUCCUUUCUUGUUUUUAUGGAAUAACUCAAAUGAUUCUCCGUUAAAGGUCCAUCUUAACUGUGUUGCGUUUGGUCGAAAUAUGUGCUGUCGAAAGAAAACAUGGUUGGUUAAUCUGAUCAAUGGUCUUUUUUGUGUUUAUAGAAUACCUCAAAUGAUUCUUCGUUAAAGGUCCAUCUUAGCUGUGUUGCGUUUGGUGGAAAUAUGUGCGGUGGAAAGAAAACAUGGAUGGUUAGACUGAUAAAUGGUCUUUCUUGUGUUUAUAGAAUACCUAAAAUGAUUCUUCGUUAAAGGUCCAUCUUAAAUGAAUCUAUGUUUUCGAACGACUUAGGGCAAAAGGACGACAUGGUUGGUUAAAUUGAUAAAAGGUCUUUUUAUUUGUUUAUAGAAAACCUUAAAUGAUUCUUCGUUAUAGGUCCAUCUUAACUGUGUUUCGUUUGGUCCAAAUAUGUGCGCUGGAAAGAAAACAUGGCUCGUUAAACUGAUAAAUGGUCUUUCUUGUGUUUAUAGAAUACCUCAAAUGAUUCUUCGUUAAAGGUCCAUCUUAAAUGAAUCUUUUUUUUCGAACGACUUACGGCAAAAAGAAAACAUGGUCGGCUAAACUGAUAAAUGGUCCUUUCUUGUGUUUAUGGAAAACCUUAAAUGAUUCUUCGUUAAAGGUCCAUCUUAACUGUGUUUCGUUUGGUCCAAAUAUGUGCGCUGAAAAAGAAAACCUAGUUGGUAAAAUUGAUAAAAGGUCCUUUCUCGUGUUUAUGGAAAACCUUUGCUAAAGUUCCAUCUUAAAUGAGUUGCGUUGGUCGUAAUAUGUGCGGUGAAAUAAAAAAAAUGACUGUUGAAAUUGAUGAAUGUUCCUUUCUUGUCUUUAUAUAAAAGAUUUUAAUGAUUGUUCCUUUGAGUUCCAUCGUAAAUAUAUUGCGUUUGGUCGGACUACUGGAAAACAUUAAAUGAUUCUUCGUUAAAGGUCCAUCUUAGCUGUGUUGCGUUUGGUCGAAAUAUGUUCGGUGUAAAGAAAACAUGGAUGGUUAAACUGAUAAAUGGUCUUUCUUGUGUUUAUAGAAUACCUCAAAUGAUUCUUUGUUAAAGGUCCAUCUUUAAUGAAUCUUUGUUGUCGAACGACUUACGGCAAAAAGACGACAUGGUCGGUUAAAUUGAUAAAUGUUCCUUGCUUGUGCUCAAAGCAAACCAUACAAUAAUUCUUCGGUAAAGUUCCAUCUGGAACGAAUUGUGUUUGGUCAAUCUACUGACAGUGAAAAGAGUUGCGUUUGGUCGAACCAUGUGUGGUGAAAAGAAAAUAUGGCUGUUGAAACUGACAAAUGGUCCUGGCUUCUCUUUAUUAAAAGUCAUAAAUAUCUCUUGGUUUAAGGUCCAUCUUAAAGGUGCUGUUUUUUGUCAAAAUACGCUAAUUGAAUACAACACCGGGGUUUUCAAACUGUUGAAUGCUCUAUCCCUGUAGUGAAAAAAGUGAGUUUAUACUUUGUUCUUGGUUAAAGAGCCAUGCUUGGUCAACAUUUGUUUGAUGGUGGGAAAAAAGGACUAUUUCAUUUAACUUUUUUUUAUUUAAAAAUUUGCAUAAAUUCUUGAAAUGUUGAUUGGUGAAAAGUUCUUGAUAAAGAGGCAUUGAAUGCUGAUAAUAGUCAAAUUAUAUAUCUGACUAUAUAUCUGAAAACUAUAAAUUAUUUUUCGAUUCAAAGCAGCAGCAAUUUUGAAGUUAACUUGAUAAAGUAAAAAAUUGAAGAAAAUAUUAGUCUAGCUAUAAAAGUCUGCAUAUUCUAGCUAUAAAAUAAAGUACCCAUUGACAACAGUUUUCAAAGAACAAUGAAUCUAACUUUUUUUAAGAGUUCUUUUUAAGCAUUGGCUGCCAAGAGCCUUCAACUCAAGAUGUGGUAAUGUAACCAGCUCAAGUGAGCUGGACACCGUGGCGAGUUGACUGGAGACUGCUGCAAAAAGGCGAAAUGGCAAUUCCUGUUGCCAACGAAGCUAAAGAGCCAACAGACGAUAAUUAAAUUGAGAUAAAUGCUGUUUAGCUGAAGAGUCGAAAAAGAUCGAUAUGAAGAAGUAUGAUUCUUUGGAACUCAGAGACAUGACAUUCCAAUGCCGAAAAAGAUAUUGAGCAGAAUACAUCCAUUGCAGCAUUCCAGGAGAAAACUGCUAAAGGCACAAGGAGUAGGUCCAUCUUAAAGGUGCUGUUUUUUGUCAAAAUACGCUAAUUGAAUACAACACCGGGGUUUUCAAACUGUUGAAUGCUCUAUCCCUGUAGUGAAAAAGAGUUCUUUUUAAGCAUUGGCUGCCAAGAGCCUUCAACUCAAGAUGUGGUAAUGUAACCAACUCAAGUGGUAAUCUUUAUGGAGCUGGACACCGUGGCGAGUUGACUGGAGACUGCUGCAAAAAGGCGAAAUGGCAAUUCCUGUUGCCAACGAAGCUAAAGAGCCAACAGACGAUAAUUAAAUUGAGAUAAAUGCUGUUUAGCUGAAGAGUCGAAAAAGAUCGAUAUGAAAAAUAUGAUUCUUUGGAACUCAGAGACAUGACAUUCCAAUGCCGAAAAAGCUAUUGAGCAGAAUACAUUCAUUGCAGCAUUCCAGGAGAAAACUGCUAAAGGCACAAGGAGUAGCAUUGGCUGCCAAGAGCCUUCAACUCAAGAUGUGGUAAUGUAACCAACUCAAGUGGUAAUCUUUAUGGGUAUUUUUUAUAUAUAUUAUAUUACAUCAGAUUAUGAUCAUUUAUGGUUGAAAUUCAAACAGAGAUCUUUAAAUUGCAGAAUUCUAACGGAAAGUAAACGCUUUUCAUAGUACUUGAUAGAAUAUUUUCCAAUGAAACCUGGACAGAUAUCUUUUAAAGGUGAUAUUUAUUCGUGAUCUUAAUGUUGCUGUGAAAGUAGAAAUGUUUCUGUUUAGUAAAAUUAGAGCUAGGAGAAAAAAUUCAACUUGUUAAUCUCCAGAUCUAGAACAACUUUAAUUGCAAUAUUUUUCCACCAUGUAAAGCAGAUUUGCUAACAGAUUUAAUUGCUUGAAAUAUUUUAUUAUUCAUGCAUACCAUAGAGCUGGACACCGUGGCGAGUUGACUGGAGACUGCUGCAAAAAGGCGAAAUGGCAAUUCCUGUUGCCAACGAAGCUAAAGAGCCAACAGACGAUAAUUAAAUGGAGAUAAAUGCUGUUUAGCUGAAGAGUCGAAAAAGAUCGAUAUGAAAAAUAUGAUUCUUUGGAACUCAGAGACAUGACAUUCCAAUGCCGAAAAAGCUAUUGAGCAGAAUACAUUCAUUGCAGCAUUCCAGGAGAAAACUGCUAAAGGCACAAGGAGUAGGUGAGUUUGUUUCAAUCGCACUUUCUAAACAGUUGUUUGAAUAUAUUCAUAUCGUGUUUAUUAUGCUCAAUAUUCCACCCGAGGCCGACGUGUGAAAAAGGCAAUAAUUCAAAGAUUUCAGGUUACAAAAAAGCAGUCUAAAAUUAUCUGAUGGUGAACAGUUGUUCAGGUGUACUACAUAUAUUCUUGCAACAGAAAAUUGUAAAAUAAAGAAAGAUAGCAAUACAAUUUACAAAGAAGAAUGGAACUGAACAUAUUUACAUCAAUUUUCUACAUUUGAUGUUGGGUAUUUAAGUGACUCGCUGUCUACUUAAAUCGGAUAAGAAAUAGGCUUUUCUUUAAAAAGAUCUACAUUCAAUGAUAAGAAAAUAUGCGAAUGAAUUCAA